UGGCGGGACGGGGUGGAGUAAUGUCUGGGAAACUGCCCGAUGGAGGGGGGUAACUACUGGAAACGGUAGCUAAUACCGCAUAACGUCGCAAGACCAAAGAGGGGACCGUUCGGGCCUCUUGCCAUCGGAUGUGCCCAGAUGGGAUUAGCUAGUAGGUGGGGUAACGGCUCACCUAGGCGACGAUCCCUAGCUGGUCUGAGAGGAUGACCAGCCACACUGGAACUGAGACACGGUCCAG
rnacentral:rRNA from 1 species